rnacentral:rRNA from 1 species
UACGUAGGGUGCGAGCGUUGUCCGGAAUUAUUGGGCGUAAAGAGCUUGUAGGCGGUUUGUCGCGUCUGCUGUGAAAAUCCGGGGCUCAACCCCGGACUUGCAGUGGGUACGGGCAGACUAGAGUGUGGUAGGGGAGACUGGAAUUCCUGGUGUAGCGGUGGAAUGCGCAGAUAUCAGGAGGAACACCGGUGGCGAAGGCGGGUCUCUGGGCCGAUACUGACGCUGAGGAGCGAAAGCGUGGGGAGCGAACAGG